rnacentral:rRNA from 1 species
AUGAACGCUGGCGGCGUGGAUUAGUCAUGCAAGUCGAGCGGUCCCGACGGAUUUCCGCAAGGAAACUCGUCGGGAUAGCGGCAGACGAGGUAGUAACACGUAGGAACCUCCUCCCGAGUCGGGAAUAAUUCGCCGAAAGGCGAACUAAUACCCGAUAGCCUCUUUGGAGUAAAGAAGUAAUUCGCUUGGGAAAGGGCCUGCGUAGUAUCAGCUAGUUGGUAGGGUAAUGGCCUACCAAGGCUACGACGCUUAGGGGACCUGAGAGGGUGACCCCCACCGAUGGGACUGAGACACGGCCCAUACACCUACGGGUGGCUGCAGACGAGAAUAUUACACAAUGGACGAAAGUCUGAUGUAGCGACGCCGCGUGAUGGAUGAAGUCCUUAGGGACGUAAACAUCUUUUAUCGAGGAGAAAGUAAUUGAUAGUACUCGAGGAAUAAGGGGUUGCUAAACUCGU